rnacentral:rRNA from 1 species
AUUGAACGCUGGCGGCAUGCUUUACACAUGCAAGUCGAACGGCAGCGGGGAGGAGCUUGCUUCUCUGCCGGCGAGUGGCGAACGGGUGAGUAAUACAUCGGAACGUGUCGAGAAGAGGGGGAUAACCACCCGAAAGGGUGGCUAAUACCGCAUAAAUUCUGAGGAAGAAAGCUGGGGACCUAGGAAUAGGCCUAGCGCUUUUUGAGCGGCCGAUGUCGGAUUAGCUAGUUGGUGAGGUAAAGGCUCACCAAGGCGAAGAUCUGUAGCGGGUCUGAGAGGAUGAUCCGCCACACUGGGACUGAGACACGGCCCAGACUCCUACGGGAGGCAGCAGUGGGGAAUUUUGGACAAUGGGAGCAACCCUGAUCCAGCCAUGCCGCGUGUAUGAAGAAGGCCUUAGGGUUGUAAAGUACUUUUGUUAGGGAAGAAAAGUCAGCUGUGAAUAAUGGCUGAUACUGACGGUACCUAAAGAAUAAGCACCGGCUAACUACGUG